UGGUUCGUAGCUCAAUUGGUAGAGCAACGGUCUCCAAAGCCGUGAGGGGCAGGUUCGAAUCCUGCCGAGGCAG
rnacentral:tRNA from 1 species